rnacentral:rRNA from 1 species
GAGUUUGAUCCUGGCUCAGGACGAACGCUGGCGGCGUGCCUAAACUUAUGCAAGUCGAACGAGAAAGGGCUGUCUUCGGAUGGCCUAAGUAAAGUGGCGAACGGGUGAGUAACAGGUGGGUAAUCUGCCCUUUAGUUGGGGAUAACGCCUAGAAAUGGGUGCUAAUACCGAAUGAGCCCAACAUCACCACGGUGAUGUUGGGGAAAGGUGGCCUCUGCUUGCAUGCUACCGCUGAAGGAUGAGCCCGCCCCCUAUUAGUUUGUUGGUAGGGUAACGGCCUACCAAGGCAACGAUGGGUAGCCGGCCUGAGAGGGUGUCCGGCCACACUGGAACUGAGACAAGGUCCAGUCCCCUAUGGGAGGCGCAGGUGGGAAUCAUUCGCAAUGGGCGAAAGCCUGACGAUGCGACGCCGCGUGGGUGAGGAAGGCCUUUGGGUUGUAAAGCCCAUUCGAGAGGGAAGAAUCUGUUGGGGGUUAAUAACCUUCGGCAGUGACGGUACCUUUUGAGAAAGCUCCGGCCAACUACGUGCCAGCAGCCGCGGUGACACGUAGGGAGCAAGCGUUGUCCGGAAUUACUGGGCGUAAAGGGCGUGUAGGCGGGCUUGUAAGUCAGGGGUGAAAUCGCCCGGCUCAACCGGGUAUCCGCUCUUGAUACUGCAAGUCUUGAGUACGAGAGAGGUAGGCGGAACUCAUGGUGUAGCGGUGACAUGCGUAGAUAUCAUGAGGAACACCGGUGGCGAAGGCGGCCUACUGGCUCGACACUGACGCUGAGGCGCGAAAGCUAGGGUAGCGAACGGGAUUAGAUACCCCGGUAGUCCUAGCUGUAAACGAUGGGCACUAGGUGUAGGAGGCAUCGACCCCUUCUGUGCCGCAGCUAACGCAUUAAGUGCCCCGCCUGGGGAGUACGAUCGCAAGGUUGAAACUCAAAGGAAUUGACGGGGGCCCGCACAAGCGGUGGAGCAUGUGGUUUAAUUCGAUGCAACGCGAAGAACCUUACCGGGGCUUGACAUAUAUCUGCAAGCUGUGGAAACACGGCCCUCCGUUCUACGGACGGAUAUACAGGUACUGCAUGGCUGUCGUCAGCUCGUGUCGUGAGAUGUUGGGUUAAGUCCCGCAACGA